rnacentral:rRNA from 1 species
CCUACGGGUGGCUGCAGUGGGGAAUAUUGCACAAUGGGCGCAAGCCUGAUGCAGCCAUGCCGCGUGUGUGAAGAAGGCCUUCGGGUUGUAAAGCACUUUCAGCGGGGAGGAAGGCGGUGAGGUUAAUAACCUCAUCGAUUGACGUUACCCGCAGAAGAAGCACCGGCUAACUCCGUGCCAGCAGCCGCGGUAAUACGGAGGGUGCAAGCGUUAAUCGGAAUUACUGGGCGUAAAGCGCACGCAGGCGGUCUGUCAAGUCGGAUGUGAAAUCCCCGGGCUCAACCUGGGAACUGCAUUCGAAACUGGCAGGCUAGAGUCUUGUAGAGGGGGGUAGAAUUCCAGGUGUAGUGGUGAAAUGCGUAGAGAUCUGGAGGAAUACCGGUGGCGAAGGCGGCCCCCUGGACAAAGACUGACGCUCAGGUGCGAAAGCGUGGGGAGCAAACAGGAUUAGAUACCCUAGUAGUC